CGCGCAGGCGGUUGGGCAAGUCUGACGUGAAAGCUCCUGGCUUAACUGGGAGAGGUCGUUGGAAACUGCUUAACUUGAGGCAAUGAGAGGGGCAUGGAAUUCCCGGUGUAGUGGUGGAAUGCGUAGAUAUCGGGAGGAACACCAGUGGCGCAAGCGAUGUCCUGGCAUUGGCCUGACGCUCAUGUGGCGAAAGCGUGGGGGAGCGAACG
rnacentral:rRNA from 1 species